UGGCACCACAGUGGGCAGUGACCCGCCGGGUCGUCCGUCUACCCCGAGCGAGCUGGGUCCUGAUCCUGCAGCUCCUGGAGGGACAGGGGUCAUAGGUGAAGUACACCUGGCAGGCCUCGAUCUCCAGAGCGUCCGGGAGGUGGAAGAAGAAAUAGCCCUGAUUGGUGAAGCAGCUGGUCAGCGAGUGGCCGCUGGUCUCGGCUGAGGACGAGGAGGGCACCUUCUCCUGCUGUAGCAGGAGCAACAGUGUGGCCUUGGCGUCCCUGUCCAGCACCUCCAGCGGGGAGAUCUCGGGUGCCGGCGUGUUGGGGCUGAAGGACGACGAGGGGAAGGGAGAGGAGAGCCACUUCUGCCAGGAGAAAGAGCAGCGGGGAGGCGAGGAAACGGAGCACAGAGAAGUUCUCUAACUUACCAAACAUCACACAGCCAAGAAGGGGCGGAGCCGGGAUUAGAACCCACUCCUCCUUCAGAUUUCAAGGGACCCAUCACUUCCUUGGAGAAGCUUCUGCCAGCCACCCCUCAGCCAAGGUUCCUGUCCCUGUUGUCUAUUUCCAACACAUCGAACAUCUUCCUUUGCCAUCCUCCUCGUGGCGUGUCAUUGUACUCGUGUGUGAUUAAUAAACGUCUGCCUUCUCCCA